rnacentral:rRNA from 1 species
GAUGAACGCUGGCGGCGUGCCUAAUACAUGCAAGUCGAGCGAACGGACGAGAAGCUUGCUUCUCUGAUGUUAGCGGCGGACGGGUGAGUAACACGUGGAUAACCUACCUAUAAGACUGGGAUAACUUCGGGAAACCGGAGCUAAUACCGGAUAAUAUUUUGAACCGCAUGGUUCAAAAGUGAAAGACGGUCUUGCUGUCACUUAUAGAUGGAUCCGCGCUGCAUUAGCUAGUUGGUAAGGUAACGGCUUACCAAGGCAACGAUGCAUAGCCGACCUGAGAGGGUGAUCGGCCACACUGGAACUGAGACACGGUCCAGACUCCUACGGGAGGCAGCAGUAGGGAAUCUUCCGCAAUGGGCGAAAGCCUGACGGAGCAACGCCGCGUGAGUGAUGAAGGUCUUCGGAUCGUAAAACUCUGUUAUUAGGGAAGAACAUAUGUGUAAGUAACUGUGCACAUCUUGACGGUACCUAAUCAGAAAGCCACGGCUAACUACGUGCCAGCAGCCGCGGCAAUACGUAGGUGGCAAGCGUUAUCCGGAAUUAUUGGGCGUAAAGCGCGCGUAGGCGGUUUUUUAGUCUGAUGUGAAAGCCCACGGCUCAACCCGUGGAGGGUCAUUGGAAACUGGAAAACUUGAGUGCAGAAGAGGAAAGUGGAAUUCCAUGUGUAGCGGUGAAAUGCGCAGAGAUAUGGAGGAACACCAGUGGCGAAGGCGACUUUCUGGUCUGUAACUGACGCUGAUGUGCGAAAGCGUGGGGAUCAAACAGGAUUAGAUACCCUGGUAGUCCACGCCGUAAACGAUGAGUGCUAAGUGUUAGGGGGUUUCCGCCCCUUAGUGCUGCAGCUAACGCAUUAAGCACUCCGCCUGGGGAGUACGACCGCAAGGUUGAAACUCAAAGGAAUUGACGGGGACCCGCACAAGCGGUGGAGCAUGUGGUUUAAUUCGAAGCAACGCGAAGAACCUUACCAAAUCUUGACAUCCUUUGACAACUCUAGAGAUAGAGCCUUCCCCUUCGGGGGACAAAGUGACAGGUGGUGCAUGGUUGUCGUCAGCUCGUGUCGUGAGAUGUUGGGUUAAGUCCCGCAACGAGCGCAACCCUUAAGCUUAGUUGCCAUCAUUAAGUUGGGCACUCUAAGUUGACUGCCGGUGACAAACCGGAGGAAGGUGGGGAUGACGUCAAAUCAUCAUGCCCCUUAUGAUUUGGGCUACACACGUGCUACAAUGGACAAUACAAAGGGCAGCGAAACCGCGAGGUCAAGCAAAUCCCAUAAAGUUGUUCUCAGUUCGGAUUGUAGUCUGCAACUCGACUACAUGAAGCUGGAAUCGCUAGUAAUCGUAGAUCAGCAUGCUACGGUGAAUACGUUCCCGGGUCU